rnacentral:SRP_RNA from 1 species
GCCAGGCUCAGUAGCGCGUGCCUGUAGUCCCAGCUACUCGGGAGGCUGAGGCUGGAGGAUUGCUUGAGUCCAGGAGUUCUGGGCUGUAGUGAGUUAUGCUGAUCGGGUGUCCGCACUAAGUUCGACAUCAAUACGGUGACCUCCCGGGAGUGGGGGACCACCAGGUUGCCUAAGGAGGGGUGAACCAGCCCAGGUCGGAAACAGAGCAGGUCAAAACUCCCGUGCUGAUCAGUUCUGGGAUCGUGCUUGUGAAUAACCACUGCACUCUAGCCUGGGCAACAUAGCAAAACCACAUCUCC